CCCUUAGAUGUUCUGGGCCGCACGCGCGCUACACUGACGAUGGCAACGAGUUUUUCCUUCGCCGAAAGGUGUGGGUAAUCUUUUGAAACAUCGUCGUGCUGGGGAUAGAUCAUUGCAAUUUUUGAUCUUGAACGAGGAAUUCCUAGUAAGCGCGAGUCAUCAGCUCGCGUUGAUUACGUCCCUGCCCUUUGUACACACCGCCCGUCGCUACUACCGAUUGAAUGGUUUAGUGAGGACUCCUGAUUGGCGCCGCCGCCCCGGCAACGGAGCAGCGGACUGCCGAAAAGUUGUUCAAACUUGAACAUUUAGAGGAAGUAAAAGUCGUAACA
rnacentral:rRNA from 1 species